rnacentral:rRNA from 1 species
UACGAAGGGGGCUAGCGUUGUUCGGAAUUACUGGGCGUAAAGGGCGCGUAGGCGGUGUGUCAAGUCAGGCGUGAAAGCCCCGGGCUCAACCUGGGAACAGCGCUUGAGACUGGCACGCUCGAGUUCGGGAGAGGAUGGUGGAAUUCCCAGUGUAGAGGUGAAAUUCGUAGAUAUUGGGAAGAACACCGAUGGCGAAGGCAGCCAUCUGGACCGACACUGACGCUGAGGCGGCGAAAGCCAGGGGAGCAAACGGG